rnacentral:rRNA from 1 species
GACGAACGCUGGCGGCGUGCUUAACACAUGCAAGUCGAACGGAAAGGCCCUGCUUUUGUGGGGUGCUCGAGUGGCGAACGGGUGAGUAACACGUGAGUAACCUGCCCUUGACUUUGGGAUAACUUCAGGAAACUGGGGCUAAUACCGGAUAGGAGCUCCUGCUGCAGGGUGGGGGUUGGAAAGUUGCGGCGGUUGGGGAUGGACUCGCGGCUUAUCAGCUUGUUGGUUGGGUAGUGGCUUACCAAGGCUUUGACGGGUAGCCGGCCUGAGAGGGUGACCGGCCACCUUGGGCCUGAGAUACGGACCAGACUGCUACGGGAGGCAGUAGUGGGGAAUAUUGCACAGUGGGCGGAAGCCUGAUGCAGCAACGCCGGGUGCGGGAUGACGGCCUGCGGGUUGUAAACCGCUUUCGCCUGUGACGAAGCGUGAGUGACGGUAAUGGGUAAAGAAGCACCGGCUAACUACGUG